CCCACUCCACCAUGCAGGCGGCCUUUUUCUUCUGAUUGCCGGUCACCUCUCCGUUCUAGGGUUUGCAAAGCAACGCAGAAAAUGGACAGCGAUGCAGGGCAGUGGUCCCAUCUCCCGAAGGAUCUGCUAGCGAAGAUCGCCGGACGCCUCGACACCCGCAUCGAUUUUCUCCAUUUCCGCGGCGUCUGCUCUUCAUGGAUGUCGUCCGUUUCCCCUACCUUUCCCAGAAAAAACCCUAUCUUGUCUCUGAAACUCCCGUACCCCAUUGCCUCCAAUGCCAACCUCAACAUCUGUGACCCCGACACCCGCAACCCUCACGGCUCCUUUUCCCUCAUCGAGUCCACUCUCUAUUAUCUUCAACCACUCCGCCAAACCCCAGAUUCCAAAGAGGCCCUGUUGGUUAAGUUGGAGGAGCCUAAACCAGGGAAAGGCCGUCUUAUGGACACCCUCUCCAGAUGCGCCAUCCAGCAUCUGCCCAAAAAUUUCCCCAAGGUUCUCAAUACCCUCAACUUUCGAGUCCGUGAAGUUGGUAAAGCUUAUGGUCUUCGUUUCUUUGAUGUUCGGGGUAAGCCUAUUACUAGCUUUGAGUUCAAAUCUAUUUUGAUCAAGAAAGUAAUUAUGUUCUCGAAGGGUGAUGAGUAUGGUUUGAUGAUGAUUCAUAUUAGAGGGAGGCUGGCUCUAUGGAGAUUGGGGGAGGAGAAAUGGAGUUUGAUAGAUGAUGGGGCAGAGAAAUCUCAUUUUGAUGAUGUUAUAUACUAUAAGGGGAGAUUCUAUGCUAUUGAUUAUAAAGGAAGAAUCGUGGUGAUUGAUGCUGACUCUCUGAAAGCCACAGAGCUUGCGUCUCCGGUGCAUGGUAGCAGGGGUACUCACAAGCAUUUUGUGGAGUCAUUUGGGGAACUGUUUUUGGUUGAUAAGUACCUAGAUGAUGAACUUCAAAUCUUUUGUAAUGAUUAUAGCGACAUAGUUGCUGAUGUCCCUGAUUAUCCUGUUCAUUUUGAGGUCUUUAAGUUCAUUGAGGAGGAGCAGAAGUGGGAUUGGGUAAGCGACAUUGGCGACAGAGUGUUGUUUGUGGGUGAUGACCGCACCUUUUCUCUCUCGUCUACCGACUUCCCUGGAUUCAAGGGGAACUGCGUUUAUUUCACCCAAGACUGUUUCUGUGAAGAAGAUGAUGAUCGUCCCGGGUUUGAUGCUGGCAUAUUCGAUUUAGAGGAGCGCAUUGCUGGGCCACUAUCGGCUUUCCCAGGGUAUUCUAAGAUCUUUUGGCCACCCCCAGCUUGGCUUAGGCCACAAAGAAGCUAAAUGCAAGUAUGGACUAUUCUAGUUUUAAAAUCUCACUGGUUUUCUCCAUUUCUAACAGGAUUCUUGUUGUUGAUUUUCCAUUGGCACUGAGAAUAGCCUAAACAGGGUGACUUGUAGACCUUUUAUUUUGUCAUAUAUCUAUAUAUAUCUGCUAUAUAGAGCAUAAUAUCUCAUUGAAAUCAUGUAUACUUUUCAGUUUCUUUGUGUAUAUUUAUACAAAAUGUCCACUGACUUGUCUUCCUGAAUUGGACACUAAGUAAUCGAACCAAGGCUUGCAUGAAAUUUAAAUAUGGAUAUGCAGAACAUUAUCAAGAUUUUGCACUUGUGAUAUGAAUGCAUUUGUUGCCAUGGUUUAGAGGAUAUAAUAUCUCCUCUCUCUUUUUUGAUCCUUGCAGGUGAGGUUUUGAAAGAUUUUCUGUUUAUAUGAAAUGGUAAGCAGCUCCAUAUUGAAGAAACAACUGUUUUUUUAUUCUAUAACUAAGCAUUCUUGUCUGGAUAUGAUCUUUGCAGGUAAGCUGUCAAAAGGGUAUUUUGCAGUUGUAGAUAUGGAAUGCAGUGGGUAGCAUUAAGCUUUAGUUCUUUUUUGGGCUUUGGUUUCAGCUAAGUAGAUGGUGCUUCUGAAUUUCUGGAGUUUUUGGAUACUAUAAUGGUUUCUUUAGUUCAACUUUUAAGGCCUGUGAUGUUAUGCUUGGUUUCUUAGUAUUAGACUGAAAUUUCCUAUGAUUUUUAACUCUCAAGAGUGGCAGACACAAGGUCUAAAGAAUGAACAUGGAGGAGUAGAUGACAUGACUUUGUCAGGCAUCUAGUUCUCCUGUGCCAUUGUCGUGAAGGAACAGAUUUUAAUCUAUUUUCCAUGGAGAAGAGUUGCUUUGUCGUUAUAGGUGCCAGUAAUUGAAAACAAAGAGACAUCUAAAAAAAAUUAGUUGAUUAAAAGGGAUGAAAUGAUUUCAAAUUUGUAAAUCUACUUUUUUCCGAUAUUGGAACUCAUUUUUGAAAUAAAUGUUAUAAAUCGGGAGUUAUUUUACCCCUUUUAAUCAAUGAGUGAGUUAAUAGUUUCAAAACCAUAAAUAUGGAGAGAUAAGUGAGUGAAAAAAAAUUUAGAGUGCAUUUGAUAGCGAUUGUUUUAGAAAAGUCGGAAACACUUCUUAAAAUCACUAUUGCAUGUAUUCUUAAAUUAAAAAAAGUUUUAUAACAAAAAAAAUUGUGAGGGAGAAAAAUGACAAAAUGAAAUAUGAUAGGUAAUAAUGGAUAAGGUAAAAUGUAAACAAAAUCUAAUAGAUUGUAAGAACAUUUGUGGGAUAAUAUAAUUUUUUUAAAAUAAAUUUAAAUUUUGAAAAUUACAAAUAUAAUUUAACUUGUCUAUUUUAUAAAAUGGCAGUAUAUUUAAUAUGACAUUUAUGGAGAUUUUGAAAUCUAAUCAUGGUAAAGAAAUAUAUUUUUGAAUAAAAUAAUUUUCAUCUUUGAAAUUUUUUACAUAUGAGAAAGCAUAUUAAAAAUCAAAACAAAGAUAUUGUUAGGGAAGUGUUUUAGAAAAUGGUUUUUUAUAAUUGUUUUUAAAAACUAUUUUAUAAUAUUUGUAAAACAAGUAUUUUUACUGUUUUUUAUUUUAUUUUUAAGUAUUUUUUAAAAUUAAAUAUUAUCUAUGUACUUUUUUUAAUUAUUUUUGAUAUUUAUAUAAUUAUUUUUUACAAUAAAUAAGUGAAGUCUACUAAAACUAACUAAUAUAUUUUAUUAAAAAUGUCUUUUUAUAUAUUUUAAGAUAAAAAAUUUAGGUUUAUUUUGUAAUUAUUUUUAAAAAUAAUUUUGAAAAACAGUUUUUGAAAACUGUUAAUCAAUGUUUUAUAAAAUAAAAUUUUAUUUAAAAACUUAAAAUAUUUUAAAAUUUAAAAUAAAUUUUAUGUUUAAUAUUUUAUUUUUAAUAAGCACAAUCAACAUCCCCGAUAUUUAGAUUCCAUGAAAAAAAAUAAUAUAACGGUUUGUACUUGAAAGUUUUUUCGAUUUAUAUAUAUAUCUUCGAAAAUAGUGAGUUCUGAGUUGACAUAUAUGUUAUGACUUAUGACUUGUUAAUUUGAAAUAACAUUAAUUUGAAAAAAAUAUAUAAAAAAAAAUAUUUUCGUUAAAAACACGAAUAGAAAAAAAAGAUUAAAAAAAAUAAAUCAUCUUGAUUCCUCCUAAAAAACAUAUAAACAUAUGAUUAAAGUUCAUUAAAAAUUUUCAAAUAAAAGAUUUAUAUUUAAGAGUUUUUUUUUCUUCUUAAAAUAGAUUUAUUAAUAUAAUUAUCUGUGACCAAAUUUAUUUGAAAAAGAUUUUUAUAAAAGCUUUUUAAGAUUGUUUUGUAUUUUUAUUUAAUAUUUGAAUGAUAUUUUUCAUUUUUCAUUUUCAUUUUUAGAAAAAUGAAUUCAAAAAUGGAAACGUGGAAACAUCAAAUUGGUAUUUUAAUGAAAAAAAAUUAAAUAAAAAUGUAUUUAUAUAUGAUCCGACUGUUUGCCUGCCUCUAACUGUCCCGCUAAAUCUGCCGAAACGUGUCCAUCCACCCCACGCCACCAUGCAGGCGGCCUCUUUCUUCUGAUUGCCGGUCACCUCUCCGUUCUAAGGUUUGCAAAGCAAGGCAGAAAAUGGAGAGCGAUACAGGGCAGUGGUCCCAUCUCCCGAAGGAUCUGCUAGCGAAGAUCGCCGGACGCCUCGACACCAGCAUCGAUUUUCUCCGUUUCCGCGGCGUCUGCUCUUCAUGGAUGUCGUCCGUUUCCCCUACCUUUCCCAGCAAAAACCCCCUCUUGUCUCUGAAAAUCCCGUACCCCAUUGACUCCAUUGCAAACCUCAACAUCAGUGACCCCGACACCCCCAACCCUCGCGUCUCCUUUUCCCUCAUCGAGUCCACUCUCUAUUAUCUUCAACCACUCCGCCAAACCCCAGAUUCCAAAGAGGCCCUGUUGGUUAAGUUGGAGGAGCCUAAACCAGAGAAAGU
rnacentral:lncRNA from 1 species